rnacentral:rRNA from 1 species
AGAGUUUGAUCAUGGCUCAGGAUGAACGCUAGCUGGAGGCUUAAUACAUGCAAGUCGAGCGGGAUUGGUAGCAAUACCAUGAGAGCGGCGCACGGGUGAGUAACGCGUACACGACCUACCUCUGACAGGGGGGAUAGCCCUGGGAAACUGGGAUUAAUACCGCAUAUUAUUCUGAUUAAUAAAGGAUUGGAAUGAAAGUUCAGGCGGUCAGAGAUGGGUGUGCGUCUGAUUAGCUAGUUGGUAGGGUAAUGGCCUACCAAGGCGAUGAUCAGUAGGGGGCGUGAGAGCGUGAUCCCCCACACGGGUACUGAGACACGGACCCGACUCCUACGGGAGGCAGCAGUAAGGAAUAUUGGACAAUGGCCGCAAGGCUGAUCCAGCCAUCCAGCGUGCAGGAAGAAGGCCCUAUGGGUUGUAAACUGCUUUUAUCAGGGAAGAAACCUCUGGAUUCACUCCGGAGCUGACGGUACCUGAAGAAUAAGCACCGGCUAACUCCGUGCCAGCAGCCGCGGUAAUACGGAGGGUGCGAGCGUUAUCCGGAAUUACUGGGUUUAAAGGGUGCGUAGGCGGCUUUGUAAGUCAGGAGUGAAAGUUUGCGGCUCAACCGUAAAAUUGCUUCUGAUACUGCAUGGCUAGAAUUAGGAUGAGGUCAGCGGAAUGUGGCAUGUAGCGGUGAAAUGCAUAGAUAUGCCAUAGAACACCAAUUGCGAAGGCAGCUGACUAGACCUGGAUUGACGCUGAGGCACGAAAGCGUGGGGAGCGAACAGGAUUAGAUACCCUAGUAGUCC